rnacentral:rRNA from 1 species
GGCAGACGGGUGAGUAACGCGUGGGAAUCUACCUUUUGCUACGGAAUAACGCAGGGAAACUUGUGCUAAUACCGUAUGUGUCCUUCGGGAGAAAGAUUUAUCGGCAAGAGAUGAGCCCGCGUUGGAUUAGCUAGUUGGUGGGGUAAAGGCCUACCAAGGCGACGAUCCAUAGCUGGUCUGAGAGGAUGAUCAGCCACAUUGGGACUGAGACACGGCCCAAACUCCUACGGGAGGCAGCAGUGGGGAAUAUUGGACAAUGGGCGCAAGCCUGAUCCAGCCAUGCCGCGUGAGUGAUGAAGGCCCUAGGGUUGUAAAGCUCUUUCACCGGAGAAGAUAAUGACGGUAUCCGGAGAAGAAGCCCCGGCUAACUUCGUGCCAGCAGCCG